rnacentral:rRNA from 1 species
GACGAACGCUGGCGGCGUGCUUAACACAUGCGAGUCGAACGGAAAGGCCCUGCUUGCCGGGUGCUCGAGUGGCGAACGGGUGAGUAACACGUGGGUGAUCUGCCCCUUACUUUGGGAUAAGCCUGGGAAACUGGGUCUAAUACUGGAUAGGACCAUGCUGUAGGUGGUGUGGUGGAAAGAUUAGUUUCGGUAAGGGAUGAGCUCGCGGCCUAUCAGCUUGUUGGUGGGGUAAUGGCCUACCAAGGCGUCGACGGGUAGCCGGCCUGAGAGGGUGGACGGCCACAUUGGGACUGCGAUACGGCCCAGACUCCUACGGGAGGCAGCAGUGGGGAAUAUUGCACAAUGGGCGCAAGCCUGAUGCAGCGACGCCGCGUGGGGGAUGACGGCCUUCGGGUUGUAAACUCCUUUCAGCCAUGACGAAGCCCUUGUGGUGACGGUAGUGGUAGAAGAAGCACCGGCUAACUACGUG